rnacentral:sRNA from 1 species
UCAGACACAAGUUUUGAUCGCCUCUAUU